rnacentral:miRNA from 1 species
CACGCGCGCACACACACAC